rnacentral:rRNA from 1 species
UGCCAGACUCCUACGGGAGGCAGCAGUGGGGAAUAUUGGGCAAUGGGCGCAGGCCUGACCCAGCAACGCCGCGUGAAGGAAGAAGGCUCUCGGGUUGUAAACUUCUUUUAUCAGGGACGAAGCAAGUGACGGUACCUGAUGAAUAAGCCACGGCUAACUACGUGCCAGCAGCCGCGGUAAUACGUAGGUGGCAAGCGUUAUCCGGAUUUAUUGGGUUUAAAGGGUGCGUAGGCGGAAUGCCAAGUCAGCGGUAAAAUCGCGGGGCUCAACCUCGCUCCGCCGUUGAAACUGGCGUUCUUGAGUGGGCGAGAAGUAUGCGGAAUGCGUGGUGUAGCGGUGAAAUGCAUAGAUAUCACGCAGAACUCCGAUUGCGAAGGCAGCAUACCGGCGCCCAACUGACGCUGAAGCACGAAAGCGUGGGUAUCGAACAGGAUUAGAUACCCCUGUAC